UACGUAGGCAGCAAGCGUUGUUCGGAAUUACUGGGCGUAAAGGGUGUGUAGGCGGUGUCGUAAGUUUGGUGUGAAAUCUCCCGGCUCAACUGGGAGGGUGCGCCGAAGACUGCGAUGCUCGAGGUUGGGAGAGGUAAGCGGAAUUCCUGGUGUAGCGGUGAAAUGCGUAGAUAUCAGGAGGAACACCUGCGGUGUAGACGGCUUACUGGACCACACCUGACGCUGAAACACGAAAGCGUGGGUAG
rnacentral:rRNA from 1 species